rnacentral:rRNA from 1 species
CCUACGGGGAGCAGCAGUGAGGAAUAUUGGUCAAUGGCCGUAAGGCUGAACCAGCCAAGUCGCGUGAAGGAAGAAGGAUCUAUGGUUUGUAAACUUCUUUUAUAGGGGAAUAAAGGUAUCCACGUGUGGAUAUUUGCAUGUACCCUAUGAAUAAGCAUCGGCUAACUCCGUGCCAGCAGCCGCGGUAAUACGGAGGAUUCGAGCGUUAUCCGGAUUUAUUGGGUUUAAAGGGUGCGUAGGUUGUAGUUUAAGUCAGCGGUGAAAGUUGGUGGCUCCACCCUCAACUUGCCGUGGAAACUGGAAGACUUGAGUGGGUGUGAGGUAGGCGGAAUGCGCGGUGUAGCGGUGAAAUGCAUAGAUAUUACGCAGAACUCCGAUUGCGAAGGCAGCUUAC